rnacentral:rRNA from 1 species
UACGAAGGUGGCGAAUGUUGUUCGGAUUUACUGGGCGUAAAGCGUCCGCAGGUGGUUAAUUAAGUCAGGUGUGAAAGCCCCGCGCUCAACGUGGGAAUUGCAUUUGAAACUGAUUAACUUGAAGGCGAGAGAGGAGGGCGGAAUUACCGGUGUAGAAGUGAAAUUCGUAGAUAUCGGUAGGAACACCCGAAUGGCGAAGGCAGCUCUCUGGCUCGCACUUGACACUCAUGGACGACAGCGUGGGGAUCAAACAGG